AUACGUAGGGGGCUAGCGUUAUCCGGAAUUACUGGGCGUAAAGGGUGCGUAGGUGGUUUCUUAAGUCAGAAGUGAAAGGCUACGGCUCAACCGUAGUAAGCUUUUGAAACUAAGAGACUUGAGUGCAGGAGAGGAGAGUAGAAUUACUAGUGUAGCGGUGAAAUGCGUAGAUAUUAGGAGGAAUACCAGUUGCGAAGGCGGCUCUCUGGACUGUAACUGACACUGAGGCACGAAAGCGUGGGGAGCAAACAGGAUUAGAUACCCUGGUAGUCCACGCCGUAAACGAUGAGUACUAGCUGUCGGGGGUUACCCCCCUCGGUGGCGCAGCUAACGCAUUAAGUACUCCACCUGGGGAGUACGCCGGCAACGGUGAAACUUAAAGGAAUUGACGGGG
rnacentral:rRNA from 1 species